rnacentral:rRNA from 1 species
UACAGAGGGUGCGAGCGUUGUUCGGAAUUAUUGGGCGUAAAGGGCGCGUAGGCGGUGCGGUAAGUCACCUGUGAAAUCUCCUGGCUCAACUGGGAGCUUGCAGGCGAAACUGCCGUGCUGGAGUGUGGGAGAGGUGAGUGGAAUUCCCGGUGUAGCGGUGAAAUGCGUAGAUAUCGGGGAGGAACACCUGUGGCGAAAAGCGGCUCACUGGACCACAACUGACGCUGGAGGCGCGAAAAGCUAGGGGGAGCAAACAGG